AGCAAGAGAACUGAAUGUUAAAAGAUCUGAAUUUUAGACAUGCUGGAUAACGACUUCAUUAUUCCAGACUUUUCUCCAACUUUAUAGUAAGCAGCUAGACUGCAAAAUACUUUAGAUCAGUGAUCAGCAUACAGCUCCCUGGGCCAAACUCAGCUUCCUUUUAUAAAAAAGGUUUUAUUGGGACACAGCUACGCACAUUUGAUUAUGUUAUUUUCCAUGACUCCUUUCACACUAUAAUGGCAGUGCUGAGUAGUUGCCACAGAGACCAUAUGCCCUGCAAAGCCCUUGACUGAGAAAGUUUGCCAUCUCUUGUUUUUGGUCUCGUCUGUUUUAUUUUGUUAUUUUAUUUUAUCUUAUUCUGUUUUAUUUGUCAAUGGGAGAAUGAGCAUUUUCUCAAAGAAGUAUUUUUGAAGUACAUCUUUAGCUAAUGGAGGGCAUUUGUUUUAGCCAGCAAAGAUUCAGCUGUCACUGUACAAGGUCCCUGGAGAAGCCGUCUUUCUCAUUCCAGGAACUAAGAAAGGUGUUUUCUAGGUCUGUAUCACAUUUCCACAAAUACAGGUUCAAUUAAAGUACCUUUUCUUUUAAUUUUUCCCAUUCUUUAUUGUCAUUCAACCUUGGGUUGAGCCAGCGAGAUUGGUAAGAGCUGCCCCCUGGAGACCUCCUGCAAAUGCUAUUCCAUGAAGUAGUGGUUUCCCAAUGUGCAUCUCAUACAAAACCAAACAAUACAAAUAAUGCUGCUAUUGUACCUUUCUUAUGGCUGGUCUCAAGGGGGUGAGACUGUCAUCAUAAAACAUAACAAAGCUGCUAUAGAAAUGGACAGACAGAGGAGAGAGUAGUCUGAGGGCCUCAGAACCUCAACAGAAACUUCCUCUAAGCUGGCAGCUGAAAGCUGCAGGGUUUUUUCUUGGUUAUUUAUUGAAAUGUGAAGAUUUCUUGUCUCAAUGGGUAGUUGCAGAAUUUUUUAUACUGUUAUCUACAUGUGAAUUAUUGACUGGAUUAUCAAAGCCAUUAUACUUAUAAAUCUUGAAGUAUUAACUGAGAAGCAGGAAUAACUUUUUAAAACCCCAGAUUGUUAGAUUAGUAAGUGCUAACAGGCAACCUUAUUUCUCUUGCUAGAUGGCUUUUGAUGAAAUCAACAGAAUGCACAAGUUAGGUAAAUGAAUGUGGAGUUAGAUUUACUGAAACUCAUCAUGGUAUAGGCUCCCCAGUAGCAUAGGUUAUUCUGUUUUAAACAAAAAUUACUUGAUUUUUAUUUACUUAGGAACACUCUUUUGCUUAAUCAUAUCACAUACCUCUCCUAUUUGUUUGUUAAAUCUAGUUUUUCAACAUUUGGUGCAAAGAUGUAUUUACAUAACUUGUAUGAUUCAUAAUAUUCCUAUAUCCAGAAUUUGGUGGACAGAUUGUCAUAUAGAGGGAAGCCAGACUGCAAGGAAAAAUUCUUUCUAUAGGACUCACUGCAUAAUCAUGAAAGGAAGAAAAAUCUGACCUAUUCAGAUUUCUGCCUUCAGCACCUACUUUUUGGUGUCCUCAGAACUCACGUUUUGUGGUCUGAAUAAAAAGUAAGUAACAGCUAACUCAGCUUUCUGUAAGUUAUAGUAAUACUUCCAUUAGACAUGGGGAAUAUUGAUAGAUUCAAAAGAUGAAGAAGAAAUCUCCAGGAGGACCAAACUGCACUGUGGAGGUUUGGAAAUAUUUCUUUGCUUUUGGUACAGAAGGUGAAGCAGAAUGAUUUCAGUUGGAAGAAAGGAUCUAAGCUUGGCAAGGCUACUCAGAAGCCAUUAUAAUGUUAAUUAAAGAAUGUUCAUGAAAGGGAAAAAAACAAAAAUCCAUCUCUAUAGUGGGUUCCAAUCUAUGGGCCAAACAGAAGCAAUUUCCCCUCUUCCUAAACACCAAAUCCUACAGCUGGAUGUUUAGACCAUAUCUGAUCUCUGCCUUGUUGAUCCCCUGACCAAUCCAUCACGUGAAAACAAACCUGUCAGGCAGUAGUGUCUCAGUAUGCUGCCCUCUCAGAUGUAUUCCCCAGUUGGCUGACAUCACGCCAACUAGUGAAAAUCCCACACUUGAGUGGUGCUGUCUGUCAGGCGUUGGGACGAGGAAAACAAGCGUGCUGGGGCAGACAUCCUGUAUCCAUCCCAGAGUCAGAGGGUCUCUGAGGAGCAGCCAAAUAAGCUGCUCACUUCAGAAUACCUUAUUAUACAUUUAUUCUACAAUCCCAAGAUGGGAGUUGCUACCCCCAUAGCACAACUGGCCUCAAUGUCUGUACAGCCCAAGAAAUCCACAUAACUCAUGCAGGCUACAGCAACUAACAAUAGGACCUAUGCUGUAUUGAGCUCUGCUAACAUUAAAAUAACGAUCUAAAAUCCCCAGGAUAACUUUCCAUAAAUCUAAUGCAUGAGUUCUUUUUUUUUUAUUGAAGAGUAAUACCAGCAGUUAAACCUUAUAGGUAUCCAGAAGCAAUUACAAAAUGAGGAGAUUAUGGUGGCGAUAUUGUAAAUGGAACUCACUUAAAUGUCAAAGCACUUGCCAUAAAAGUGGCAAUAAUGAUGCUAAACACAAUACACUGUUUCAAAUAUUAGUUUUUUCAUUUUUUCCUCUAUUAGACAUGAUGAGGUUCAAACAACCAUCACCAAACUGACUGUGAAAAUAAUAAUAUCAUCAUUAUCAUGUGCUGGCAAAGCACGAAUGGCUCUGUCAUUCUGUCCUACAGACGCUUACUAAUGGAACAAGAAUCAGACAUAAAUCCCUAGAGGUAAAAAUGGCAGGGCAUUACCAGGCUCAGAGCAUAAUUGUAAACCUGCAUGCUAAUAAGCGUGGCUUUUAAAGAUACCAAUCAUAGCAAAAAUGGCAAUAAAGAUAAUUUUUCAGGCUGUAAUUAUUUGCUGGUCAUAAAAUAUUUUUAGCUUUGGAACGUUUGUUGUUACUGUUUGGUAUUUACUUCCAGCCUACUUGUUAAUCCAAUUCAAUCUAAUUCCUUAAGAACAAGCUGCAUGCCUGCUUCUCCUUUCCUUCUUUCAUGAGCACCAAUCAAGCUCCUACUGUAUAUAGGUAUUGUGCUAAACAGCAAGAGAAGCAUACUGCACCGGCUUGGUCCUAUAGCAAUUGAUUGUCAGGUUGAGGGAAAUUUUAAAAGGGGGUAUACAUGCCAAUUAGAAAAACUCAAGGCAAAAAAAAUUAAAUAAGUAAACAGGAAUACUUACAUUCUUCUAUUGAAUUUACCAAAGUCCAUCUCAGGUGAGAAGAAAGCUAUGACUAAAUCAAUCUUAAACUUAUAUCUGAAAAUUCAAACAAGGAAUUGCAGAAUUGGAUUGACUGAUCUUUAUCAUAUUCUGCUUAGGAAUGUGCAAAGGGGUCGAAUGACUGCUUGGUGAAUAUUCAUAGUUGUUCAACAAUCUCAAAUUUUUAAUAUUUCAGAGGGAUGUUCAAAAUCGUUCCAGAAGCUGGUAAUUAAAGGAAAGCAAUAAAAAUCUUUUUUUUUUCAAUGGGAAAGUACAAUACUGUUCUGCUAAAAUUUCUGAUUCCAAGGACAUUUCUAAUGAUAAAAGAUCUUAAGAAAAAUGAAGGAGGUGAAGAUAGGGCUGCUUCUAUUUUAAGUAGAAGCAUAUGUUUAUACUUCUCGGUGGGAAACUUCUAGGCAGCAAUCAAGGGAACUUACCUUACAAGUACUGUAUAAGUGAAGAGUUUAAAAUAGUUUUUAGUUGAAAAAAGAACAGGAAACUAUUUCAAAACUGAAAAAAAUUGAUUUUUGAUUGUAAUCAAGUAGCCUUGCCUAUUUCUGUAUCAUAAUGAAUAUCAAUUAGUAGAAAACAUGAGAAAAUAAAUUUUCAUAUACUAAAAAAUUAGAUACACAUAUCAGAAAAAGUAUGAAAAUGAUGUGCUUUUUUCUAAGCCCUAUCGUUACUUCCACAAUAACCAACAGAUCUAAUCUGCCAACUAUCUAACUUCCUUCCUUCCUUUCUCUCCCUGUCUCUUCCUUUCUUCUUUUUUUCUUUUUAGGCUAUCCUAGAAGUAAUUAAAGUUAGUGAUGGGUAGUGGCCUCUGCUUCUCUUGGCUGUGGUUGUCAGACACAAGUUUUGUUUGUUUGCUUGAUUUGUUGAAAAGAGCAUCCUAUUUGGAGCCUCCAGCUUCCAGGAGACCAGUAUAAGCUGAAUUUGUAACAGACAAGUUUCAACUCCUAUUUACUCUUCAAUCGUGAGUAGGCUAAGACUUGGAUAAAAAAGUUCUGGAGCCCUAGAAGAAGGCACACGGCAAGAUGGCUGAAGCCACAAGAUAGAGAAAAAAGAAAAUUCCUACCUCAGAAGAGGUUGUUAGAGGGUGAUUUUAUCCAAAAGUUCUUUGAACCAGAAGGAAAAGUUCUUAGAUGUUUGGAUCUGGUUUUCUGCCCAAGCUAAAUAACUCACCAGAAACCCAAACUGCUAGUUUAAAGAGGAUUAAGAUUAGGCUUCUUCUAAAACAGUAUGACCUUGUGCUAAGGCUUCCACUAAAUUUGUUGUCACCAUACCUGACAUCUCUCAGAUGUCACACUCACCCUAUGAAGCACAUAGCUCUAGAGCAAUUACAAGAGCCUCUGGACUCGGGAAACCCUCAUGCUUGCUUUAUUCCCUGUGACCAAUGGCUACAGCCAAUGUGCUGAUAUAGGACCUGCCUGCUGGUCUCAAAAUUCCCAAGUCUGAGAAUUGUUCACCUUCACUGAGUCUAUGACCUGUGAUCACACAUAUCUGAUGUCUCAUUUUUCUCUGGCAGAAUAUCUAUCUCGAUGAGGUUUCGUUUUGUCUCUGGCAGAAUAUCUAUCUCGAUGAGGUUUUCCUGAUUUUUCACUCUGUUGCAACUUUUCUUCUGUUUUCUCUGAAGGAGAAAUGACAUGUAAUUUAGUACCUACUUAAAGGCCCACAUUGAUGCUGACAGUUAUGCUAUCUGGCCCAUGCUUUGUUAUCUAGAACUGAUAGAAUUAAAUUUGAUUUAAUUUUUUCUAAAGCUCAUCCAUUUAAUAACUGUCCUUCUAUAGGCAUGGUCUACUAAUGGUAACUGUUAUUAGUACAGAGGUAAUAAAAGUCAACUUUUACUUUGAGCUUUGUACAGUGACCCACACAUUUUGUUGUGUAUGUCAACAGAAAUUGUAUGUGUCUACAAUCAUUGACACUUGUUUAUGGGGCUUUUAAGGCCCAUAAAAGCCAUAAUUUGGAGAAAUUAAAUCUAAGUAAUAAUAUUUAGGCUAAGUGUGUCUGUGAUGCUCAGCAGGAUUUCAGUGCAAGAUCCAAGUCAAUUGGCUCCAAUUACAGAUGAUCAAAAUGUGUUCUAGUCUGUCUUAAUACUAGGACAGUUAAUACAAAAUGCACUCCAUAUUUUAUUUCCCCAGUUUACAUUUUCUAUCUGUGAUUGGAAGGAUUUUAAGUCACAGUGACAAAGUAAAAAUUUUGUUCCUCAGAGAUUUUAAAUGCAGAAGAAUAAGUCAUAGAAAGAGAGAGAUUAAAUAAAGUGAUUUUAACUCCACUGUUACUUUUAAGAAUACUCAGGCAGCUCAUACAGUGUAUUAUAGUGAUUAAAACACUCAAUAAAGCUAGCUGUGUGGAUUUGAAUCCCAGCUCUACUUCUCGUUGGCUUCUGAGCUUGGGCAAGGUCUUUGCUUUAGAUAACUUAUUUGUUAAAUUGAAAUAAUACUACUAUUCAUUUCCUAGAGCCAUUUGGAGAUUUAAAUGAAUUAAUAGGUAAUAAGUGUUUAAAAUAUUUUCUAGCACAGACUAAAAGCUCAAUAAAUAUAAUUUCUAUGCAAGCUUUUACAUGUUGUCAAGGUUCAUAGGAGCCAAAUUGCAGAAUUCACAGAUGCAGUUCAAUUAGAACACACUUGAGAUGCUACUUUAAUCACAGAACAUUUCGAUAACAUUUUAAUAGAAGACAUUUUAAAGCCUUUUGCUAUGUAGGCCCAGAAUGUUUUGAAUGAGGGAAAACAGAAAGUUGGGAGGUCACAAUUACUUUACAAAAAAAUCUUUACAUUUCUAUAUGUAACAAAAUAUGCCAUGUUUAUAUAUUUCAUUUUGUAUUUCAUAUUAUUUAUAUUUCUCAUAAAGUAAACGUGUUAUUGACUAGACAAUCAAAUUUACCAAUAAUUAUAUUUAUUCUUAUUUCAAUAUGGACUACCAGAGUAAGACAGUCCUUAAAAUGGAAGAUAAUCGUUUUAUUUUAUUAUGCCACACCUUUUUUUCCCACCUUUAAAUUUUUCUAAAAUUAAGGAAUAUUAUAACACUUUCCAAAUUAUAUGAGAUUAUACUAUAAGGAGAGGUAUGGUAUAUUAAAUAUGCUUGCAUAUUUUACUCUUCUUUCAAGAUGUGGAUUCCCUUGAAUUUGACCAGUUUUUAAUGAUAUAGUUGAUCAAUAGACUAUUGUUGAAGUGAUAUUCCAGAAUUUCUAAGGCUUAGUCAGUGUGUUCCUAGAAUGUUUGUUCUUAGGAGAAAACAGCCUCUCUUUAACAAGUCCUACUAUGCUGAGGCUACCUUGCUGUGAAGAUGACCAAAGCUAGCUAUGUUGACAGGCCACAUGGAGAGAGAUGCACACACAGUCCCAGUUGUUCCAGUAACCCAACCUAGAAAUGGAGUCUCCUUAUGUUGUCCUGACUUGUCUUAAACUCUUGGCUUCAAGUGAUCCUUCCACCUUGGCCUCCCCAAAACUGGAAUUACAGGUGUGGCUGACUGCCAUGGUUACUACUUGAGACUAUCAUUACAACAGUUACUACUGAUACUGCUUGAGACAGUCAUUACGAGACUGAAGGAAGGAGGACGAAUGUAGAAAUAAAAACUUAAGACAAAAGUAACUAUUUUAAAGGAAGGGGCUAGGGGAGGAAGAAGAGGGCUCUCUGCUUCCAGUAAGCAAAGGCAGCAACCUUGAGCUUCCACAGCCCUUUGUAUUUAUUGGGUAGAAAGAGCAGGGAGGAGGAGGUAAUGAUUGGUCAGCUGCUCGACUGAUCACAGGUUCACAUUAUUGCUAACAGGCUUCAGAUGUGCCUAAUCAAAAGAAACACUUGUGCCUGGGUCGUGACUGCCCUCAGCAUUCCUUCUGGGUGGCAGAGGCAGUUUGUCCGUCUGCCAACAUUCUGCAUUUAUGAGAACAGUUUGCUGUUUACUCAUACAGCCUCCAGUGGUAUACUGGGUUGAUCACGACCCUUACUCUUUUGGCCUUCAACAUAUAGGUGUGAGCCACUGUGUCUGGGCAUUUUUCUCUUCUGGUAUUUGCUUUUACUUUUACAUUAAAAUAAACAAAUAAUGGUCUUUAUGAAGCAUGUUAGAUAUUUACAGGUAGCAGACAGUUUAUUCAAGUUUUACUUUUGUCCUUCUUGUGUCCAAGAGUGAGAUGACUCUUUCCCGGGGUCUUGGAGGAACGGUGUAUAUGAACUGCAGGUUAGAACCUGUAGUAGCUCAUCUGAUACCUAGGAAUUUCUUUUGACGCUUUCUAGGGUUGGAAUCUCAUAACAUCCUCUCUCCUUGAUGUUGGUACAUCCUUCAAAGAAAGUUUUUUGGUAACUUUUCAAGGGAUAAUGGGAUAAAAGAAAAAAUAUUUAAAAGGGCACAUUGGAUUAAUUUUUCUCAGCUUUGAAUAUAUCAAAAGAUUUUCAUUUUCUCCUUUUAAUUUGGUUGGCAAUUUUUAACUAUGGCUUCAUUGUUGUCUGACAUCAAGUAUUGCUGUUUAAAAAGCCAAUUACAUUCUGAGAAGACAACAUGAAAUGAUUGGUCAAUAAGGCAGGACACAAGCUUAAUCGCUUCCCCCAAUUUGUUAUAUCUGUGAAGAGCCAGCUUAGCUUCUGAGCUCCUGGUAUAAUCAGCUAAGGCCUCUGUUGUAACUGCAUCUCAAUUCAACUUCUUUAUCUGCCAGAUCUGCAGCUUGCAUUCCCUCCCAGGUGGUGUUUUAUGAGAGUAUGCCCUCAUAAACUUCCUGUAUGCAAAUCUGCACGUGAGAGUCUUUCUUAGAGCACCAGACCUAAGACAAUUAGUCCCAAGAGAGGAUCAAGAAAACAGAUCCUAAAUUGGAAUGCUGAAUCAUCAGUAAAUGGUUCAAGGAAAAGUUAGUGGAAGCCGUUAUCCAUGUCAACAUUGAACCAGAAGAGCAUGAUUUGCAAGAGGAACUGCUACACAUUUUACACUUAUUUACUCCAACCUUUCCUGCUAAUUCCAGGUUUAUUGGAGAAGACAGAAUGACUGAUGACAGAAGCACCUGCGAUCUUCUUCUUGUGCUGUGGGCUUCAGGGGAAUCCAAGAGUUCCUGGCAAAGAGGAUCUAAUGAAGACUGACAUUGAUCAAUAAAGGCAUGGGGUUAAAAGAGCAACAAUAAGAAUACCUUAAAGUUGUACUCAGAAGAUAGGAGCUAUCUCUGCUUCCUUUCAGAAACAUCAUUAUUACCUUGAAUCAGAGCCUGCCAGAAGCAUUUUGCACAACAAUUGUAAGAAGAGACUGAAACUUCAGAAACACUUUUAGAUCUGCAUUUCCAAACAACAACCAAAACUGCUGGAUGCAAGGUGGCUGCUUACACUACAGACCUGUUACAUAUAUUCCAACCCCAUAAUGCUAGGGGUUUACAAGGAUAAUAUUUGUGAACUUUCACAUUCUAUGUAGCGGUCACAAUGAAGUCCUCUAAAGGCAUCCUUUGAUGGAAGCAAUUUGGACGUUUAUGAUGGCUCAAAGCAAGGUUCCAAGCAAUGAGACUACAUUAGUGUAGAUCACCAAUAUAAAUAGAACAGCUAUCAUAUCAUAUCAGUUCUGUCCACAGCACGUGAGUAGGAGAAGUUCUGAAAUAAGAUCAUCAGGAACAAAGAAAGGAGUAUUUCAGAAUAUAUUCAGUUGAUUCCAGAGGUAGCCAAUCCUGCUUGAUUGAAUGUUUGCAAAAUUCAAUUCUCUGUUUGCAGAUUUAGGUACAGCAGGUCUUUGAAUAACAGUCAUUUCAUUCAACAUUGUUUCCUUAUAACGUUGAUGAGAAAAAAAGAAUAUAUAUAUACAUAUAUAUUCCCACUGGGGUUCACUGUCUGGGUAGAGUCUACAUGUUUUCCCCAGGUCUGGAUGGGUUUUUUUCUGGGUACCCAGGUCUCCCUGACAUUCCAAAGUUAUGCACAUUCAGUUCAUCUAAUGGUCCCAGUCAGAGUGAGUGCGGGGGGUCAGUGAGUACACCUGGUGAUACUACCUGUGUAGGGAUGGUUGUUUCCUGUCUGGUGUCCUAAGCUGCAGGGAGAAGCUCAGGCCACCUGCAACCCUAAACUGGAAUAAGCAGAUCUCGAUGGAAAGUUCAAGACAAAAUCAGUUUAAGAAUUUAGAAAAUCUUAUCGCUUCUCGGCCUUUUGGCUAAGAUCAAAUGAAGAAUUUAGAAAAUCUUGGGACUUCUUUAUUCCAUCUGUGCAUACGGUACUAUUUAUAAUUUGGGGGUUGGGCUUCUGGUUUGUAUUAUAUUUAGUUUUAUAUAAGUCAGAGACUAUAUGCCUAAAUCAACAUAUGCCCAGUGGUUGAAUGGUGGGCUCAAUUUUUUCCAGUGAAAAUAUAUUGCUUGGAAAACAAAGUAACUGACUCAAUUUUAUGAUGGCUAAAUCCAAAUUUCUUAAAUUGUAUACUUUCUCUGUCAAUCAAUAUCGAUGUUUUAAAAUUAAUAUCAUGCCCUUACAAAAUGAUCCUUAUAUCAACUGCAUUUGCAUGUUUUUGUUUGUUUGAUGACAAAGUCUUGCUCUGUCACCCAGGCUGGAGUGCAGUGGCACAGUCUUGGCUCACUGCAAUCUCUGCCUUCCGGGUUCAAGCGAUUCUCCUGCCUCAACCUCCUGAGUAGCUAGGAUUACAGGGGCAUGCCACCACGCCUGGCUAAUUUUUGUGUUUUUGGUAGAGACAGGGUUUCACCAUGUUGGCCAGGCUGUUCUCAAACUCCUGACCUUAGGUGAUCCACCCGCCUUGGCCUCCCAAAGUGCUGGGAUUACCUCGGCCUCCCAAAGUGCUGGGCCACUGUGCCCUGUACGAUUUGCAAGUUUUUAAAUUUAAACUCUAUUCUCCUCAACUCAGGAGUCAGGCAGAAUAACAGAGUAGCCGUUUUCCAUCUUUAUAGUGAAAAUAGCUAUCUAAUGUUUAAUUAACCAGUUUAGUAGCUUGUGAGAUACACUGAUAUAUUACCCAGAAACACUCAAAUAUCGUAUUGGCUUGUUAACUAAAUGUGCAUGCCUGUGUCUUAAGUUUUUAUAUAUGUAUAUAAAUGUUGUAGCAUAUGAAAUAUAUGCCUACCUAUGUGUUUAUGUAAUAGCAUUAAAAUUUGCAUGUAUGGCCUGUGAACAUACUUGCAUAUGUGUGUGUUUCACAUUACCUGGAAAGUAACUGUUAUUUUCUGCUGCCUCAGAAUUUCAGACUUCUAAAUGCUUGACUUUUAGGUGCUAAAUUAUUGUUAGUGCUAAAGGAAUUGUUCAUUACUUUUAAUGGCAAAAACUGCAAUUCCUAUUGCACCAACCUAACAUCUUAUUACGGCAUGUUAACAAAUUCCAAAAGCAGUUUUGCAGCAUGUAGCUUGUCUAAUCACAUUUUAGGUAAUUCUAGAUUCAUAGAAGUGGGUCAGGAAAGAGGAGAAAUUACAUAAAAAGCGUUAUCAGAGAGCUGAGGUAUUUCCUCCCUCUUCAACAAAUCAAGAGACUUCAGAGAAUAAUCUGAAAAGUGUAAGAGUCCCCAGGAUUUGGGAAUCCUGGGAAUAUAUCUGAAUCUCACCUGUGAAAGUAUGAGAGAAAGGUGUGGCUAGUGCAGCAGCUGGUGGCAGACUAGAGAGAUAUUACGAAAGUAUGCUUUUUUCCCCUAACAGGAGAGGUCCAGGGCCUAUCUCCCAUGGGCUAGAUGUGGCUCUCAAUUAAGGAACCACUUUUAGUCAUUUUGGGAGAGAGUUCACCCACAAAGGCCACUUAAUGGGAGGAAACAGAGAAUGUCUAGGUAUGGUAGACUGUGGGGAUCUAGGGAUUGAGAGAAAUCAUAAUUGGUCUCCUAAAGGAGGCAUCAAGUCUAUGGGCUGAGGUCCCCAUUGGUAAAAUAUCAAAGGAGGGAAAAAGUCCUUGAUAUGAUUUGGAUGUGUCUCCACCAAAUCUCAUGUUGAACUGUAAUCCCCAAUGUUGGAGGUGGGGCCUGGCGGGAGGUAAGUGGAUCAUGGCAAAUUUUGUCCUUGGUACUGUCCUCACGGUAGUUAGUGAGUUCUAGUGAGAUCUGGUUUUUUAAGUGUGCGGCACUCCUCCUCCCUCUCUUGCUCCUGUUCCCACAAUGUAAGACAUUGCUUCCCCUUUGCCUUCUGCCAUGAUUGGAAGCUUCCUGAGGCCUCCCCAGAAGCAGAACCCACUAUGCUUCCUGUACAGCCUGCAGAACUGUGAGCCAAUUAAACCUCUUUUCUUUAUAAAUUUUUUAGUCUUAGAUAUUUCUUUAUAUCAAUGGGAGAAUGGCCUAAUAUAGUUCUUAUAUGGUAUCUGCCACAUAAGUGGGCAUUGAUGCCACAUGAAAAAUGUAGCGAUCAAGUAAGAUGACACUUCUCAUAGCUAUCCUGCCUUUAUGCAGACACUUACUAUGUACCCACAAAA
rnacentral:lncRNA from 1 species